rnacentral:rRNA from 1 species
UACGUAGGGCGCAAGCGUUGUCCGGAAUUAUUGGGCGUAGAGAGCUCGUAGGCGGCUUGUCGCGUCGGUUGUGAAAGCCCGGGGCUUAACUCCGGGUCUGCAGUCGAUACGGGCAGGCUAGAGUUCGGUAGGGGAGUCUGGAAUUCCUGGUGUAGCGGUGAAAUGCGCAGAUAUCAGGAGGAACACCAGUAGCGAAGGCGGCACUCUGGGCCGGUACUGACGCUGAGGAGCGAAAGCGUGGGGAGCGAACAGG